rnacentral:rRNA from 1 species
CCUACGGGAGGCAGCAGUAGGGAAUCUUCCACAAUGGACGAAAGUCUGAUGGAGCAACGCCGCGUGAGUGAAGAAUGGUUUCGGCUCGUACAGCUCUGUUGGUAGUGAAGAAAGAUAGAGGUAGUAACUGGCCUUUAUUUGACGGUAAUUACUUAGAAAGUCACGGCUAACUAAGUUCCAGCAGCCGCGGUAAUACGUAGGUGGAAAGCGUUGUCCGGAUUUAUUGGGCUGAAAGCGAGUGCAGGCGGUUCAAUAAGUCUGAUGUGAAAGCCGUCGGCUCAACCGGAGAAUUGCAUCAGAAACUGUUGAACUUGAGUGCAGAAGAGGAGAGUGGAACUCCAUGUGUAGCGGUGGAAUGCGUAGAUAUAUGGAAGAACACCAGUGGCGAAGGCGGCUCUCUGGUCUGCAACUGACGCUGAGGCUCGAAAGCAUGGGUAGCGAACAGGAUUAGAUACCCCAGUAGUC